AUUGAACUCUCUCUUUAUUCUUUACACAUGCAAGUCGAACGGCAGCGCGGACUUCGGUCUGGCGGCGAGUGGCGAACGGGUGAGUAAUGUAUCGGAACGUGCCCAGUAGCGGGGGAUAACUACGCGAAAGCGUAGCUAAUACCGCAUACGCCCUACGGGGGAAAGCAGGGGAUCGUAAGACCUUGCACUAUUGGAGCGGCCGAUAUCGGAUUAGCUAGUUGGUGAGGUAACGGCUCACCAAGGCGACGAUCCGUAGCUGGUUUGAGAGGACGACCAGCCACACUGGGACUGAGACACGGCCCAGACUCCUACGGGAGGCAGCAGUGGGGAAUUUUGGACAAUGGGGGCAACCCUGAUCCAGCCAUCCCGCGUGUGCGAUGAAGGCCUUCGGGUUGUAAAGCACUUUUGGCAGGAAAGAAACGUCGCGGGCUAAUACCCCGUGGAACUGACGGUACCUGCAGAAUAAGCACCGGCUAACUACGUG
rnacentral:rRNA from 1 species